GAGGGUAUAGAUCAGUGUAGAAUGUGUGCUUAGCAUGCAUGAGGUCUUGGGUUCAAUCCCCAAUACCUCCA
rnacentral:tRNA from 1 species